rnacentral:rRNA from 1 species
CAGUAGCCGCGGGAAUACGUAGGGUGCGAGCGUUAAUCGGAAUUACUGGGCGUAAAGCGUGCGCAGGCGGUUGUGUAAGACAGGUGUGAAAUCCCCGGGCUUAACCUGGGAACUGCGCUUGUGACUGCACAGCUAGAGUAUGGCAGAGGGGGGUGGAAUUCCACGUGUAGCAGUGAAAUGCGUAGAGAUGUGGAGGAACACCGAUGGCGAAGGCAGCCCCCUGGGCCAAUACUGACGCUCAUGCACGAAAGCGUGGGGAGCAAACAGGAUUAGAUACCCGCGUAGUCCCUGUCUCUUAUAA